CCUACGGGAGGCAGCAGUGGGGAAUAUUGCACAAUGGGCGCAAGCCUGAUGCAGCGACGCCGCGUGAGGGAUGACGGCCUUCGGGUUGUAAACCUCUUUCAGUAGGGAAGAAGCGAAAGUGACGGUACCUGCAGAAGAAGCGCCGGCUAACUACGUGCCAGCAGCCGCGGUAAUACGUAGGGCGCAAGCGUUAUCCGGAAUUAUUGGGCGUAAAGAGCUCGUAGGCGGUUUGUCGCGUCUGCCGUGAAAGUCCGGGGCUCAACUCCGGAUCUGCGGUGGGUACGGGCAGACUAGAGUGAUGUAGGGGAGACUGGAAUUCCUGGUGUAGCGGUGAAAUGCGCAGAUAUCAGGAGGAACACCGAUGGCGAAGGCAGGUCUCUGGGCAUUAACUGACGCUGAGGAGCGAAAGCA
rnacentral:rRNA from 1 species